rnacentral:rRNA from 1 species
CAGUAGCCGCGGUAAUACGUAGGUGGCAAGCGUUGUCCGGAAUUAUUGGGCGUAAAGGGCUCGCAGGCGGUUUCUUAAGUCUGAUGUGAAAGCCCCCGGCUCAACUGGGGAGGGUCAUUGGAAACUGGGAAACUUGAGUGCAGAAGAGGAGAGUGGAAUUCCACGUGUAGCGGUGAAAUGCGUAGAGAUGUGGAGGAACACCAGUGGCGAAGGCGACUCUCUGGUCUGUAACUGACGCUGAGGAGCGAAAGCGUGGGGAGCGAACAGGAUUAGAUACCCGUGUAGUCCCUGUCUCUUAUAC